AACGAACGCUGGCGGCAGGCUUAACACAUGCAAGUCGAACGCACCUUUCGUAGUGGGUUGCAGACGGGUGAGUAACGCGUGGGACUCUACCCUUCUCUACGGGAUAGCUCCUUGAAACUGGAAUUAAUACCGUAUACGUCCUGCUGGUGAAAGAUUUGUCGUGGGAGGAUGAGCCCGCGUUGGAUUCGCUAUUUGGUGUGGUAAAGGCCUACCAAGGCGACGAUCCAUAGCGGGGCUAAGAGGCUGAUCCGCCACACUGGGACUGAGACACGGUCCAAACUCUUACGGGAGGCAGCCGUGGGGAAUCUUGGACAACGGGCGCAAGCAUGAUGCAGUCCUGCCGCGUGAGUGAUGAAGGUGCUAGGGUUGUACAGCUCUUUCAGAGGCGACGAUACUGACGGUACCCAAAGAAGAAGCCCCGGCUAACUUCGUG
rnacentral:rRNA from 1 species